UCCGGUGGUUCUGAAUGGAAGGGCCAUCGCUCAACGGAUAAAAGGUACUCCGGGGAUAACAGGCUGAUACCGCCCAAGAGUUCAUAUCGACGGCGGUGUUUGGCACCUCGAUGUCGGCUCAUCACAUCCUGGGGCUGAAGUAGGUCCCAAGGGUAUGGCUGUUCGCCAUUUAAAGUGGUACGCGAGCUGGGUUUAGAACGUCGUGAGACAGUUCGGUCCCUAUCUGCCGUGGGCGCUGGAGAACUGAGGGGGGCUGCUCCUAGUACGAGAGGACCGGAGUGGACGCAUCACUGGUGUUCGGGUUGUCAUGCCAAUGGCACUGCCCGGUAGCUAAAUGCGGAAGAGAUAAGUGCUGAAAGCAUCUAAGCACGAAACUUGCCCCGAGAUGAGUUCUCCCUGACUCCUUGAGAGUCCUGAAGGAACGUUGAAGACGACGACGUUGAUAGGCCGGGUGUGUAAGCGCAGCGAUGCGUUGAGCUAACCGGUACUAAUGAACCGUGAGGCUUAACCUUACAA
rnacentral:rRNA from 1 species